GAUGAACGCUAGCUACAGGCUUAACACAUGCAAGUCGAGGGGAAACGACAUCGAAAGCUUGCUUUUGAUGGGCGUCGACCGGCGCACGGGUGAGUAACGCGUAUCCAACCUGCCCAUCACUUGGGGAUAACCUUGCGAAAGUAAGACUAAUACCCAAUGAUAUCUCUAGAAGACAUCUGAAAGAGAUUAAAGAUUUAUCGGGGAUGGAUGGGGAUGCGUCUGAUUAGCUUGUUGGCGGGGUAACGGCCCACCAAGGCAACGAUCAGUAGGGGUUCUGAGAGGAAGGUCCCCCACAUUGGAACUGAGACCCGGUCCAAACUCCUACGGGAGGCAGCAGUGAGGAAUAGUGGUCAAUGGGCGAGAGCCUGAACCAGCCAAGUAGCGUGCAGGAAGACGGCCCUAUGGGUUGUAAACUGCUUUUAGAAGGGAAUAAAGUGAGAGUCGUGACUCUUUUUGUAUGUACCUUAUGAAUAAGGACCGGCUAAUUCCGUG
rnacentral:rRNA from 1 species